rnacentral:lncRNA from 1 species
GAGGAUGGGAGCUCAGCACCAGGGCUGAUGAAAUUCUUAUUAAAAUCAUUAUUGAAAUUCAUAAAAUGCUUCUCAUCUUUACAAGUGUGAAAGAAACCCAAGUCCAGAAAGCAAAAAGAUAAAAUGAGAUGAAUAAGUAAACAGGUGCACUAGGGAAGAUUUUAAGACUCUAAUAUUGAAAUUCAGGCAAUUAAAAUCUAAACUGAAAGCAACAGAGACUAAUACAGAUAUUUUGGAUAAUAGAGUAUUGUGAAAGAAAGCUCAAGAUACACUUUCAGUAGUUAGAAAUUGUAUUAGUCAGGGUCCUCUAGAGGAACAGAAUCAAUAGAAAGCAUGAUUAUAAAAAGGAGAUUUAUUAGGUUGGCUUGCUCACCAGAAGCUGGAUAGUCCCCAAUGACCAUUUGCAGGCUGGAGAGCUGGUAGAACAAGUAGCUGCACAGCCAAGAGGCUGAAGCCCCAGAACAAGAGGGAUCAGUGAUGUUACCCUAGUCGGAGACUUAUGGAAAAUCCCUAGAGAAUCACUGGCAGAGUCUGCUUUGGAAGAGUGAAGAAGUGAAAGCCCAAUAUCCUCAGAUGAUUGCAGCCCAAUCAAAAACCCAUUCAAGAAGAAUGGAUGCAUGUGCUGCUGCUUUCUUCCCAACUUUUAUUCCAUUCAAGUCCUCAUCCUAUUGGAAAAUCUUGUAUAGCUAGGAAAGAGCUCCACUUCAGUUGGCUAACUCACAUGCCAGUCAUUCCUAUACACACCCUCCUUGACACACCCAGAAGCCUCUUAAUCAUUGGCAUCUCUUAAUCCAAUCAAGUCGACAAUUCAAAUUAAACAUUUAGAAGGGGAAAAAAGGGAAAGAAUACAGUUAAGAAUUAAUGUGGACAAAGAUUCAACUCAUAGGUGUCUUGUUACCUUGAUGGUUUUUAAAAAGGAACAUAAUGUCUUAGAAUGAGAGGAAAAAAUGAACAUCCUGUCAAAAUUACCAGGAGUUCUGAAUUCAAGGGCUGUUAAUAUCCCACACUGCAUAUCAGAUCACUAAAAACUUAGCAGAUUAUCACAGGACACAUUUUUUUUACCUCACAGUUUCUGUCGGUAAAGAGUUUAGGCCUAGCAUACCAAGGUCCUCUGCUUUACAGUCUCCCACCAAGCUAUAAUCAA